rnacentral:lncRNA from 1 species
UUUCUUAUUCUUGGCGAGGGUCUUUACUCUUUUGACGGGCGGCUUUGCAAUCCUACGUUUCCAGAAGGGUGCAUUUUUCUGUAACACGGGAAUUUAGUUCUACAAAAAGCAAAAGAAGAUACCAGAUAAAACAAAUAAGGGAUUUAUUUAUCUACCUCAGGAGCUGGAUUUGCAACGCAAAAUGGUUUCAGACCAAUUUUGGAACAAGCCUCUUCGGGUUCACUACAUAACUUCUUCAUG